UACGAAGGGUGCAAGCGUUACUCGGAAUUACUGGGCGUAAAGCGUGCGUAGGUGGUUUGUUAAGUCUGCUGUGAAAGCCCCGGGCUCAACCUGGGAAUGGCAGUGGAUACUGGCAAGCUAGAGUGCGGUAGAGGGUAGUGGAAUUCCCGGUGUAGCGGUGAAAUGCGUAGAGAUCGGGAGGAACACCAGUGGCGAAGGCGGCUACCUGGACCAGCACUGACACUGAGGCACGGAAAGCGUGGGGAGCAAACAGG
rnacentral:rRNA from 1 species